AUGAAGCUGGAAUCGCUAGUAAUCGCAAGUCAGCAUACUGCGGUGAAUACGUUCCCGGGUCUUGUACACACCGCCCGUCACACCAUGGGAGCCGGAAAUGCCCGAAGCCAGUGACCCAACCUUAGGGAGGGAGCUGUCGAAGGUGGAGCCGGUAACUGGGGUGAAGUCGUAACAAGGUAUC
rnacentral:rRNA from 1 species